AGUUUUCUAUUAAACAUUUGAGCUUUGAUCAGGAACCUUGACUUAACUCCAUGUUUCUCUUGACCACGUGAGCCAUGGGCCGGCUCUCAACAGUCUGGCACCCAGGCCAGGGACCUGAGGAAUGGCAGAAAAACACUGCUUGGUGUGGAGCUCCACAGGAAGAAAAAGAAAAGGAUCAUAUCGGACACUGAAGCAACAGGUUCCCACAGAGCCCAGAAGAUGGUGUCAGGUCCCUGGAGCUGGAGAUACAAGUAAUUGUGAGCUACCUGCCAUGGAUGUUGAGAACUGAACUCAGGUCCUCUAUAAGAGUAGAUAUCUUUGUUUAUAAUGGAGUAUUUGCUUAGCAUGCAUGAAACCCCAAGUUUAAUCACCAGAGUCUCAAAAAAGGAAAAAACUGUUUCUAAGCUACCCAUGUAUAAAUGAACUUGUGACAAAGUACAUUCAUUACAGGUUCCUCCAAGAUUGAAACAUUCCAUCCCCCAUGGACUCCUUAAAACAUAAGGAAAACAAGUCAAAAUACCUUCAGGAAGUCACUGAAACUCACCAGAUUCAGAGGGCCCAUUGUUCCCAGAAUAAGAAAUGAAGACUGCAGGAGGGGGGAGGUGUCACUCUCAGAUAAGUUAAUCUGCAGAGAAGAAUUUGAGAUAAGAGGAGCUGCCUGGAAGAAGAAACCAGCCCAGCUGCCUGGGCAAAUUUUAGACUUGGAGUCAUUUGGAAAGGACACUCUCUAUCCUGUUGACCUGCUUGUAGGCUGUCCAGGUUCCCAGUUUCUGUGACUAAAGUAGACUUUGGUGACAAAGUUGUCUUUAAGAUAUUUCUGUUCCUGUAACUAAACCCUGAUCCAUAUUCCUGUAAGUAACCCCAAUAAAACUCAUUGGCUC
rnacentral:lncRNA from 1 species